rnacentral:rRNA from 1 species
GACGAACGCUGGCGGCGUGCCUAAUACAUGCAAGUUGAGCGCUGAAGGUUGGUACUUGUACCAACUGGAUGAGCAGCGCACGGGUGAGUAACGCGUGGGGAAUCUGCCUUUGAGCGGGGGACAACAUUUGGAAACGAAUGCUAAUACCGCAUAAAAACUUUAAACACAAGUUUUAAGUUUGAAAGAUGCAAUUGCAUCACUCAAAGAUGAUCCCGCGUUGUAUUAGCUAGUUGGUGAGGUAAAGGCUCACCAAGGCGAUGAUACAUAGCCGACCUGAGAGGGUGAUCGGCCGACUUGGGACUGAGACACGGCCCAAACUCCUACGGGAGGCAGCAGUAGGGAAUCUUCGGCAAUGGACGAAAGUCUGACCGAGCAACGCCGCGUGAGUGAAGAAGGUUGUCGGAUCGUAAAACUCUGUUGGUAGAGAAGAACGUUGGUGAGAGUGGAAAGCUCAUCAAGUGACGGUAACUACCCAGAAAGGGACGGCUAACUACGUG